rnacentral:rRNA from 1 species
GACGAACGCUGGCGGCGUGCUUAACACAUGCAAGUCGAACGAAGUGGCGAACGGGUGAGUAACGCGUAAUCAACCUGCCCUUCAGAGGGGGACAACAGUUGGAAACGGCUGCUAAUACUCUAUAGUGUAGGAUGAGGCUAUAUUGUAUCAGCUAGUUGGUGAGGUAAUGGCUCACCAAGGCUAUGACGCAUAACUGGUCUGAGAGGAUGAUCAGUCACACUGGAACUGAGACACGGUCCAGACUCCUACGGGAGGCAGCAGUAGGGAAUAUUGCUCAAUGGGGGAAACCCUGAAGCAGCAACGCCGCGUGGAGGAUGACACUUUUCGGAGCGUAAACUCCUUUUGUUAGGGAAGCGGUACCUAACGAAUAAGCACCGGCUAACUCCGUGCCAGCAGCCGCGGUAAUUC